UACGUAGGCAGCGAGCGUUGUUCGGAGUUACUGGGCGUAAAGGGUGUGUAGGCGGUUGUUUAAGUUUGGUGUGAAAUCUCCCGGCUCAACUGGGAGGGUGCGCCGAAUACUGAAUGACUUGGAGUGCGGGAGAGGAAAGUGGAAUUCCUGGUGUAGCGGUGAAAUGCGUAGAUAUCAGGAGGAACACCGGUGGUGUAGACGGCUUUCUGGACCGUAACUGACGCUGAGACACGAAAGCGUGGGUAGCAAACAAG
rnacentral:rRNA from 1 species